rnacentral:rRNA from 1 species
CCUACGGGAGGCAGCAGUGGGGGAUAUUGCACAAUGGGGGAAACCCUGAUGCAGCGACGCCGCGUGGGCGAAGAAGUAUUUCGGUAUGUAAAGCCCUAUCAGCAGGGAAGAAGAAAUGACGGUACCUGAGUAAGAAGCACCGGCUAAAUACGUGCCAGCAGCCGCGGUAAUACGUAUGGUGCAAGCGUUAUCCGGAUUUACGGGGUGGAAAGGGAGCGCAGGCGGCACGGCAAGCCUGAUGUGAAAGCCCGCGGCCCAACCGCGGGACUGCAUUUGGAACUACCGGGCUGGAGUGCCGGAGAGGUAGGCGGAAUUCCUAGUGUAGCGGUGAAAUGCGUAGAGAUUAGGAGGAACACCAGUGGCGAAGGCGGCCUACUGGACGGUGACUGACGCUGAGGCUCGAAAGCGUGGGGAGCAAACAGGAUUAGAUACCCGUGUAGUC